AAAAGCUCAAAUUUAAAAUCUGGCAGUCUUUGGCUGUCCGAGUUGUAAUCUAGAGAAGUAUUAUCCGCGCUGGACCGUGUACAAGUCUCCUGGAACGGAGCGUCAUAGAGGGUGAGAAUCCCGUCUUUGACACGGACUACCAGGGCUUUGUGAUGUGCUCUCAAAGAGNNNNNUUGUUUGGGAAUGCAGCUCUAAAUGGGUGGUAAAUUCCAUCUAAAGC
rnacentral:rRNA from 1 species